GGAGCCCGCGGACCCGCGCGUCGGGGCGCAUGCGCCACACCAGGUCCCGGGGUGCUGCCCCGACGCCAGCUGGACGGCGACACCGACGUCCCAGGAAAGGGAAGGGCGCCAUUUGAUUUCACAGCAAACGGAAACGCGGUGAUGAAGGCAGCGCCUGGCCCUCGCCUUCCCUCCACGGCUGUCCCGGGGGCGCCCUCCCCUCGCGGCCCCAGCGGGCACGCGGGCCUUCAACCGCUGAGGCCCCCGCCGCCCUUCUGGACUUUUAUCGAGGCAUCUCCUGAAACACUGCCUGGCUCAGAGUUGGUGCUUGUUAAAAUUUUGAGGAAGCAAGCAAGCACAUGGGAAGAUACCAAAACAUGGCAGUAAAAGGAGCCAAACACACAAAAGAAAAGCCUGCCAUACAAAGAAAGUUCCCAGGUGCUCAGAUUUUGGUAUCAGCGAUUGCCACCUUAUGUAUGAUGAAAUGGGACAGUCCCAGCUCUUACCCAAC